UGCCUACGGGGCGCAGCAGUGAGGAAUAUUGGUCAAUGGGCGCAAGCCUGAACCAGCCAAGUCGCGUGAGGGAUGACGGUCCUAUGGAUUGUAAACCUCUUUUGUCGGGGAGCAAGGCCCGCCACGUGUGGCGGGAAGGAGAGUACCCGAAGAAAAAGCAUCGGCUAACUCCGCGCCAGCAGCCGCGGUAAUACGGAGGAUGCGAGCGUUAUCCGGAUUUAUUGGGUUUAAAGGGUGCGUAGGCGGAAGGGUAAGGCAGCGGUCAAAUGUCGGGGCUCAACACCGGCCUGGCGGUGGAACUGGUC
rnacentral:rRNA from 1 species